rnacentral:rRNA from 1 species
GUCGAGCGGUAGCACAGAGAGCUUGCUCUCGGGUGACGAGCGGCGGACGGGUGAGUAAUGUCUGGGAAACUGCCUGAUGGAGGGGGAUAACUACUGGAAACGGUAGCUAAUACCGCAUAACGUCGCAAGACCAAAGUGGGGGACCUUCGGGCCUCAUGCCAUCAGAUGUGCCCAGAUGGGAUUAGCUGGUAGGUGGGGUAACGGCUCACCUAGGCGACGAUCCCUAGCUGGUCUGAGAGGAUGACCAGCCACACUGGAACUGAGACACGGUCCAAACUUAUACGGGAGGCAGCAGUGGGGAAUAUUGCACAAUGGGCGCAAGCCUGAUGCAGCCAUGCCGCGUGUGUGAAGAAGGCCUUCGGGUUGUAAAGCACUUUCAGCGGGGAGGAAGGCGGUGAGGUUAAUAACCUUGUCGAUUGACGUUACCCGCAGAAGAAGCACCGGCUAACUCCGUGCCAGCAGCCGCGGUAAUACGGAGGGUGCAAGCGUUAAUCGGAAUUACUGGGCGUAAAGCGCACGCAGGCGGUCUGUCAAGUCGGAUGUGAAAUCCCCGGGCUCAACCUGGGAACUGCAUUCGAAACUGGCAGGCUAGAGUCUUGUAGAGGGGGGUAGAAUUCCAGGUGUAGCGGUGAAAUGCGUAGAGAUCUGGAGGAAUACCGGUGGCGAAGGCGGCCCCCUGGACAAAGACUGACGCUCAGGUGCGAAAGCGUGGGGAGCAAACAGGAUUAGAUACCCUGGUAGUCCACGCUGUAAACGAUGUCGAUUUGGAGGUUGUGCCCUUGAGGCGUGGCUUCCGGAGCUAACGCGUUAAAUCGACCGCCUGGGGAGUACGGCCGCAAGGUUAAAACUCAAAUGAAUUGACGGGGGCCCGCACAAGCGGUGGAGCAUGUGGUUUAAUUCGAUGCAACGCGAAGAACCUUACCUGGUCUUGACAUCCACAGAACUUUCCAGAGAUGGAUUGGUGCCUUCGGGAACUGUGAGACAGGUGCUGCAUGGCUGUCGUCAGCUCGUGUUGUGAAAUGUUGGGUUAAGUCCCGCAACGAGCGCAACCCUUAUCCUUUGUUGCCAGCGGUUAGGCCGGGAACUCAAAGGAGACUGCCAGUGAUAAACUGGAGGAAGGUGGGGAUGACGUCAAGUCAUCAUGGCCCUUACGACCAGGGCUACACACGUGCUACAAUGGCAUAUACAAAGAGAAGCGACCUCGCGAGAGCAAGCGGACCUCAUAAAGUAUGUCGUAGUCCGGAUUGGAGUCUGCAACUCGACUCCAUGAAGUCGGAAUCGCUAGUAAUCGUAGAUCAGAAUGCUACGGUGAAUACGUUCCCGGGCCUUGUACACACCGCCCGUCACACCAUGGGAGUGGGUUGCAAAAGAAGUAGGUAGCUUAACCUUCGGGAGGGCGCUUACCACUUUGUGAUUCAUGACUGGGGUGAAGUCG